rnacentral:tRNA from 1 species
AGGCUAUUAGCUCAAUGGUAGAGCAAUGCACAAUAUUGCACAUGGUGUGUGGGUUCAAGCCCUACAUAGCCUA